AGCGAACGCUGGCGCAUGCUUAACACAUGCAAGUCGCACGGUCAGCAAUGGCAGUGGCGGACGGGUGAGUAACGCGUAGGUAUCUAUCCUUGAAUGGGGGACAACCGUGGGAAACUACGGCUAAUACCGCAUGAUCGCAGGAGACGAGAAGAAGCCUUGAGGAGGAGCCUGCGUCUGAUUAGGUAGUUGGUGGGGUAAAGGCCUACCAAGCCUACGAUCAGUAGCUGGUCUGAGAGGAUGAUCAGCCACAUUGGGACUGAGACACGGCCCGAACUCCUACGGGAGGCAGCAGUGGGGAAUAUUGGACAAUGGGCGCAAGCCUGAUCCAGCAAUGCCGCGUGGGUGAAGAAGGUCUUCGGAUUGUAAAGCCCUUUUGGCGGGGACGAUGAUGACGGUACCUGCAGAAUAAGCCCCGGCUAACUUCGUG
rnacentral:rRNA from 1 species